UAUACUAGUACAAACUGGAUUCUCCAGAGGCCAACAGACAAAGAAAGGACUUUUGUAUAAAUAACCUGAGUUUAAACUGACUCAGGAACUUCCUUCUGACCCAGAACCUUCUGUCCAAGUGGCCCCAAUCCUGGUCAAAAGGUUGGAAGGACCGAUACCUUCUGGAGCCUGAGGUUACCUUGUGUGUUGAGAACAGAGUCAUCAAACUACUGCCUAAGUUACCACAGGGAAACUUGGUGCUUGCAAGUGAGGAAGCAUGGCCUAUUGUGGGCACUCAGGGAAAGUAUUUAG